rnacentral:rRNA from 1 species
AAUUUUCCACAAUGGGCGAAAGCCUGAUGGAGCAACGCCGCGUGCAGGAUGAAUGCCUUAGGGUUGUAAAGCUCUUUUACCCGGGAUGAUAAUGACAGUACCGGGAGAAUAAGCUCCGGCUAACUCCGUGCCAGCAGCCGCGGUAAUACGGAGGGAGCUAGCGUUGUUCGGAAUUACUGGGCGUAAAGCGCACGUAGGCGGCUUUUCAAGUCAGGGGUGAAAUCCCGGGGCUCAACCCCGGAACUGCCUCUGAAACUGGAUGGCUAGAAUCUUGGAGAGGCGAGUGGAAUUCCGAGUGUAGAGGUGAAAUUCGUAGAUAUUCGGAAGAACACCAGUGGCGAAGGCGACUCGCUGGACAAGUAUUGACGCUGAGGUGCGAAAGCGUGGGGAGCA